rnacentral:lncRNA from 1 species
GAAAUUAAAUGUCACAUAGUCUGCUCUGAGAAAAGAGCCAAGUUCAGGGCAGAGACUACCUUCCUGGGUACCCCCCAAGAAGGAGUCUUGAUCACUUCUCUAAACAUGCCCUGGAUGUUCCCAGAGCUCAUGAAAACGCUGCUCUCCAGUGGUGCUAGCAGCUCUGAUGAAGGCUAAGUCCAAGCUCUGAAUUCAGGAGAGCAGAGCUGCCUCCUGCUCCCACCACCGUGGUUCUCAGGCAGUAAUGACAUCUUCUGUAACCAGAAGCACUCCAAGAACAACACUUUCAUUCAUGGACUUAACAACUACAUUAGAUCAUACCAGCCUGUCACUUCAAAGUCACCAGUGUCAAGGAACAUUUCAAAUUGGCUUAAAGCAUUGUUUUGGAGGUGUGAAUAAUGAAGCCAAGGACAUUAGCAACAUCAUGAAAGCAGGCAUCAAGUGAAUAGAGAAGAUUCUAUGGAUGUAGAAGAGGUCCCUGGGUUUCCGAAUUGCCACUGGAUUGCCUCUAUCAAAUACACAAGAGUUUCAUGAUCACAGGGGACCCAAGAUUCUUGGACAGAAUUCUCGCCGGGAGCCAACUCAGCCUGAUCUGCUGGCAUCUCUCAAGUAUCAGAAGUCAACAAAAUGGUUUGCCUUGAAGACUUGGCCAGAGCAGCAGCCAAAGUUCAUAAGGCUUUCGUAGAGAGAUUGUUUGUCUAAGAAAACAAAAUUCUAAGGGCUCCCAUUGUGCAGCUGGGGUGGCAAAAUGCAAACUAAUAUAAGGAAAAAAAAUGCUUUUCAUUUCCAUGGAAGAAAUGACCCAUCCUAUUGUUGAUAUUUCCUUUUCUGUGCUAACUUAUUCCAUUAAUUAGGCUCUCGUUUUAUGAGAUAAUUUCACUGCAUGCGUAUCUUCUUUUGGUUAUUACACAAGGACUGUUUUCUAUGGUUCAUAUCUAAGUCCAACCCUGGAAAAAUCUUUUUUUUUGAGACAGCCUUUUUUGUUUUGUUUUGAGACAAUACUCCCUCUGUUGCCCAGGCUGGAAUGCAGUGGUGAGAUCAUAGCUCACUGCAACUUCUGCCUCCUAGGCUCAAAAAAUCCUCCCACCUCAGCCUCCCAAGUAGCUGGGAUUGCAGGCAUAUGCCAUCACACCCGGCUAAUUUUUGGAUUUUUAGUAAAGUUUUGCCAUGUUGGCCAGGCUGAUCUUGAACUCCUGCCCUCAAGUGAUCUGCCCACCUUGACCUCCCAAAGUGCUGGGAUUACAGGUGUGAGCUACUGUGCUCAGCUCAGCCAUGGAACAAUCUUGAUGUAUAAUUUAUCUGCAGGUAUCUCCAUCUCUAUUUGCCACUCUUAGUAAAUGUUUUAGUUUGACAGUAAACGAGUUGAGACAUUAAUGAUUGAGAGAGCACCUAAGCAGCUCGAAGUGCUGGGAGUCUCUCCUAAAGAAUUAGAUGCACACAGCAUUUUUCCCUUACAGACACUUCACUGAGCAGUCAUGUUGGACUUGGGUGGCGUCUGCUAUUAGACACACUAUUCACCAAUAAAACCCUGAAAAUUGCAUUGCACAGGACUGAUAAAAAUAAGAUGACUUAAGAAACGUAUUUAUGGUAUAUAUACACAGAAAAAGAAUGAAAGUUUGAGGGGGUAUUGCCUCUGGGAGGAAGAGUUAUGAGUAGUUUGUAUUUCCUUUUUUGUUAAUCUGUAUUUCAUUUUUUAGGCAAUGCAAAUAUAUUAUUUAGACAACAAAAUACUUAUUAGAAAGAAAAGACAUGGUGGGUUUUUUCCCCUUUAUUCUUUGCUUUUCUAAGAGGAAACUUUGACUGCAAUUGCUUGUGAGUGAUACCUGUGUUCUGGUAGCUUAGGAAGACACAAUGUGGUUAGGGAAGGAUAAGAACAGAUGGCUUUAAUAAAUGUACUCAAGGCUAAUGUACCCUUCAUAGUCUCAGGCUUCAGAUCAGAUCUCUUAUCUAUGCUGGCACCAGGAUGUGGUUUUGAGUUCUCUGCUUUUUCUACAGCUUUAGGGAAAUCUGCAUGCAGGCACAUCUAAUUGUCCAAACCAAAAAUCACAUCCAGGAUGUGAGGCAGCCUGGGAGAGGUCAUUUUGAGUUCUGUAGUCUCCGAAGUAUAAAAACACAUAAACAUGUAUACAUACACACAUUAACACCCACACACUUUUGAAGGAAGAUGGAAUGGAAGACAAGCACCACAGUGAAACUUUAGAAGAAUUUCCCUUACAUUCAGGAAAAAAAGAUAGAGGGUCCAUUUUCAUCACUCUUAUUGCCAUUGUCUAGAAGAUAAGCCGUAAUAAGAUAAAAUAAAAAGUGUAUAGAACACUUGGAAAAAAAUAUAAAAGAUUGGUCCCAUUCUCCGAUGGCAUGAUAUUCAAAUGAAGAACCAACUAUAAACAGGUUGUUAUGAGCUGAAUGUUAAUGUGACCCCAAAAUUCAUAUGCUGAAAUCUUAACCCCAAAGGUGAUAGUGUUAGAUGGUGAGGCUUUUAGGAGUUGACACAGUGUAAUGCCUCUUCUAUGAAGAAGUGGGCCUUUGUCAGUUACCAAAUCUGCAGAGGCCUUGAUCUUGAACUUCCCAGCCUCCAGAGCUUGGAGGAAUGAAUGUUUAUUGUUUGUAAACCACCCAGUUUAUGGUAUUUUAUUAGAGCUGCUCAAAGGGUCUAAGACACAAGUAUAAGUCAUAAGUAAAUGCAUCAAAUUUGCUGAAUAUAAAUCAACAUAUAAAAAAUCAACAGCAUGCUUGGAUCCCUGGUAUGAAUCACAUCUGGUCAUGGCAAAUAAUCUAAAAAAAAAUAAUAAAAUAAUCAAUUUAAAAAAUUUAAAAAGCAACAGUAUUUACUAUUCAUUGCCAAUGACCAAUUAGAAAAUGGCAUAAACAUGACAUCUGUGAUAAGACAAAUACUCUAAGGUAACUAGAACUACAAGUAAUAAAAGAUGUGUACAGUUUACAGAGACGAUUGUAGAAAGCCAAAAAAAAUUAAAAGUGAAAACCUAAAUGGGAAGAAGCAUCAUGUAUAUUGGGUCAUAGUAGAUAUCAUAAUAUAAAUUAUAAAAUACAGAACAAAAUGAUAUAAAAUACUAAAUUUCAAAAUGUGUUGGAUAUAGCUAAAGCAGCACUAAAGAGGAAUUUAUAGGUUUAAAUACACGUAUUGGGGGAGGAAAGAGAUAAAGUUUGAUAUGGCGGUAAGCAUCCACUUAGGGAAAAGUACAAAAAGAAAAUAAUAGUAGAAAGUAAUAAAAUAGAAAAUAUAAAAGAGGUUUUUUAAAAAAUACUUACAAAAUGGACAGUCUUUAUGGGGAUUGAACAAGAACAAAGAAAGAAGGCACUGAUAACCAAUGUCAAGGAUAUGGAAGUGGAUAUGUGGAUAUAACUAAAAUGCUGCAGUUAUUCGAGAUAAGAGUAUUAUAAGUAACUGUAAGAUAACACAUUUAAAAACUUGGUCGAAAUGGUCAAAUUUGUAGAAAAGUAUAUCUCAACAAAACUGAUUCAAGAAAAAUAACCCAUUAAAAAAUAAAUCAGCAGUUACCUUUUAUUUAUUUAUUUUUGACAAGAAAAUAUCAAAUGGUUUUACUGGCAAGAUCUGCCAAAUAUUCAAGAAACAAGUAAUUUCAAUUUUGGACAGAAUUUUCCAGAGAAGAGAAAAUGGGAAGAGGGUUGUUCCUCAUUUUAUGAAGCUAGUAUACACAUCAGUGCCAACAUUUGACAAGGGAAGUUUGAAAAAGGAAAAUCACCGACUAAUCUCUCCCAUGAGCAGAGACUUAAAAAAUUCUAAACAAAAUAUUUGCCAACCAAAUCCGAAUAUAGAAAGGAUUGUACACCAUGAUCAAGUUGAGCUCAUCCUAGGAAUGUUUCCUUUAUGGUAACAUUCGGGAAAGCAAAAUACAUGGGUGCACAUGCAAGAGGUAGGAGAUUGAGACUGGGAGUCUGUAGAACUUCUGAUUUCAUCCAUUUUUUGCAAGUGAAUUAGAUUUUCUUUAAAAAGGUUAUUGGGUGAAGGCGCAGAUAGAGGAGCAGGUCUUGGAGAUUUAAGGGGAAAGGAAGUAUGAUACAGUCUUCUAGAAGACUGGAAGAGUAAAUGGAAUAUAGCGUGAUUGCAUUGGGGCUCCUCUGAGCUUUAUGGGCAUGAAUUUAAAGAUUAUUUGAGGCCCUGGUUUGUGCAGUAAGAAAAAUUUUGUUUAGGGAUUAGGAAGGAAGAAAUAAAACUAAAAAUCUCCCAUUAUUCACAGAUGACAUGAUGAUUCUUAUAGAAAACCCAAAAGAUAUUACUACAUCAAUAUAGAAAACUCAAUUACAUUUCUUUAUUUUUCUUUUUCUUUUCUUUUUUUUUUUUUUUUGCUUUAAGUUCUAGGAUACAUGUGCAGAACGUGCGGGUUUGUUACAUAGGUAUACAUGUGCCACGGUGGUUUCCUGCACCUAUCAACCCGUCAUCUAGGUUUUAAGCCCAGAAUGCAUUAGGUAUUUGUCCUAAAACUCUCCCUCCCCUUCCCCUACUCCCCCCAACAGGCCCUGGUAUGUGAUGUUACCCUCCCUGUGUCCCUGUGUUCUCAAUGUUCAACUCCUACUUAUGAGUGAGAACAUGCGGUGUUUGGUUUUCUGUUUCUGUGUUAGUUUGCUGAGGAUGAUGGUUUCCAGCUUCAGCCAUGUCGCUGCAAAGGACAUUAACUCAUUCGUUUUUCUGGCUGCAUAGUAUUCCAUGGUG